rnacentral:rRNA from 1 species
UACGUAGGGGGCAAGCGUUGUCCGGAAUUACUGGGCGUAAAGAGCUCGUAGGCGGUUUGGUUGCGUCGGCUGUGAAAUCCCGAGGCUCAACCUCGGGUCUGCAGUCGAUACGAGCAAACUAGAGUGUUGCAGGGGAGACUGGAAUUCCUGGUGUAGCGGUGAAAUGCGUAGAGAUCGGAAAGAACACCAACGGCGAAAGCACUCUGCUGGGCCGACACUGACACUGGAGAGACGAAAGCUAAGGGGAGCGAAAUGGG